CAGGUUGAGCUUCCAGAAAUGUUUCCUUAGUUUCCUGAUGUCCUUUUAGGCUUCAGUGAGUUUCUUCAGGUUGUUACUGAGGGAUUUCCUUUCUCCUCUCUGUUGGAGCUUUUCCUGUGUUUGGAGAAAUGAGUUGUGCAGCAGCACCAACUGUCCUUCCUACAUCCACUGCAGUUUGCAAUCCAGAUGUUGGACUGUUCCUGUCUCAGUGGAGGACAAUGUGUGUCUGAGAGACAUGUAAUGUCCAUGUUUGCUGCUGAAAGAGACUGAUGGUCUGACCCCCCUCCUCCUUUCAGGGUGGAGCCUGCUGGAGGCCCAUUCUUGACACCAGGUCUGAGGAAGUAUUCCUGUCAACUCACCAUCGACACAAACACAGUGAGCAGAAAACUCAAACUGUCUGAA